rnacentral:tRNA from 1 species
AGGUAAGUGAAAUUUAUAACACGUGUAAUUUUGAAUUACAAAAAGGAAAUAAAUAAUUCCACCUUUAACC